GAAUUUUAUAAAAUUAUUUUAAAAUCAUUAAAAUAAUUUUAUUUAAUUGGGAGGAUUUUUAAAUUUAAAUAACUUUAAAAUUUAUUAAACAUUAAUUUAUGAUAUUUAUAAAUAAAUAAAUAUUAUUUAAAUAAAAAUUAAUUACCUUAGGGAUAACAGCAUAAAAUUUUUUUGUAGAUCUUAUAUAUAAAAAUAUUUGU
rnacentral:rRNA from 1 species